UUCUGACAGACUGCCGUCUCUUGUCAAUAGUUUCUGAAAGAUAUAAAAAACGUAAUUAUCAAACAAGGAUCAGCCCGUGUCACAUCCACAAAAAAAUCGGAAACAUCACCUCCGAUAUGAAUACAGGUAACAGUAUGUCAGUGAGUACAGCCAUAUUUUAUGGCAAGGUAAAGAAGAAAAGGACAGAACUGGCUCUUCCUGCAGAUGAAAGUGAGGAUGAGAUAGGAUUUAGUGACCAUGAGAAUGAUGUGGAUUGGACAGUUGAUGAAAGCAGUGAUGGAGACAUUUCAGCAGAUGAAGAGCUGCAGUUUGAGGCUGAAGAGGGAAUCGUGCCAGCAACAGGAGAG